UACGGAGGGUGCGAGCGUUGUUCGGAAUCACUGGGCGUAAAGCGCGUGUAGGCGGCCUUGUAAGUCUGGUGUGAAAGCCCGGGGCUUACCCCCGGAAGUGCACUGGAAACUGUGAGGCUAGAGUACCGGAGAGGAGGGUGGAAUUCCUGGUGUAGCGGUGAAAUGCGUAGAUAUCAGGAGGAACACCGGUGGCGAAGGCGGCCCUCUGGACCGCAACUGACGCUGAGGCGCGAAAGCUAGGGGAGCAAACAGG
rnacentral:rRNA from 1 species